UCGGUGUCAAGUCCACUUAAUUAUAGCGACAAGUAGUGCCCUUAAAAAGGAUAUGAAAAUCAGUCUUUUACAUGCAAUCUCACCUUGAAAUUCUCUAUAGCAAAUAGAGGAAAAAAAAAACAGAGCUCAGUCGCAGAAUGAAGAAAGCUGAGCUGGUCUUCAUACCAACAACAGGCAUAAGCCACCUCCUAUCCGCAGUAGAGGUAGCAAAGCUUCUUGUAGACCGUGAUGAGAGGCUUUCAAUCACCUUCCUCAUCAUGAAACCACGUUCUGACCCCAAGACUGAUAGGUUUAUAAAUUCAGUGAGCACUGCCUGUAAUCGUAUCCGGUUCAUCGACUUGCCUAAAGAUGAGACUGAUCCAAACGACCCCAUCAAGAUCUUAUUUUCUUUCAUUGAAGCCCAGAAACCCCGUGUCAAAGACGAAGUCUCUAAGCUUGUGAGGCAGUCCGAGUCAAGCCCUGACUCGCCUACACUUUCUGGGUUUGUUCUCGAUAUGUUCUGUACACCAAUGAUAGACGUGGCCAAUGAAUUUGGUGUUCCCUCAUAUAUCUUCCUUACGACAAGUGCAGCUUGUCUUGGCCUUCAACUUUAUGUUCAGGCUCUUCACGAUGAGCAGAAAGUUGACCCUACUGAGUUCAAGGGCUCGGAUGCUGAGUUGGUCAUGCCGUGUUUGGCAAAUCCUCUUCCAGCUAAGGUCUUGCCUUUUUUUAUGCUUGACAAAGAGUGGCUGCCAUCUUUCCUCGGUCUAGCUAGAGGGUUUAGAGAAAGUAAGGGUAUUAUAAUAAACACAUUUGAAGAGCUGGAAUCUCAUGCGAUUGACUCCUUUUCUAUAGGUAAUAACCCUCCGGUAUAUCCAGUGGGUCCCAUUUUAAACCUUAAUAGAGAUGGUGAUGGUGACGAGGAGUCUGAUAAAUACAAAGACAUCAAGCAAUGGCUCGAUGAUCAGCCUCUAUCCUCGGUACUGUUUCUAUGCUUCGGGAGCAUGGGGGGUUUCGGAGUGGAUCAGGUGAAGGAAAUUGCUUGUGGGCUAGAGCAGAGUGGGCAUCGAUUCCUGUGGUCUCUACGUCAACCACCACCGGAAGGGAAGAUGGAACCUCCAAGCGAUUACAAUCCUCGGGAUGUCUUACCUGAAGGAUUUUUGGAUCGGACGGCUAACACAGGAAAAAUAAUUGGAUGGGCCCCGCAGACAGAUAUUUUGGCCCAUCCAUCCGUAGGAGGGUUUGUAUCGCACUGUGGAUGGAACUCUAUAUUGGAAAGCAUAUGGUUUGGCGUUCCAAUUGCCGCGUGGCCAUUAUAUGCAGAGCAACAACUCAAUGCCUUUCAAAUGAUUGUUGAGCUCGGAUUGGGAGUGGAGAUUAAAAUGGAUUAUAGAAGAGAUUUUAACUGGGAUGGUACUGAAAAUGUCAUUAGUGCCGGGGAGAUCGAGAGAGGAGUAAGGUGUUUAAUGGAGCUUUGCGAUGAGAAAAGGGAGAAGUUGAAGGAGAUGAGUGAGAAGAGCAGGAAGGCUUUGGAGAACGGUGGAUCCUCGUUCACUUGGUUAGGUCGUUUCAUUCAAGAUACCGUGGACCGCCUGCCAUGAUUAAACUGUACUCUUUUCGUGUUAUUUAAUAAAACGCUUUCUUAAUAACCUGUUUUUAAAAAUAUGGUUGGGUUGUUUUUAAAAAAAUUCAUGUUAAAAUAAAUAAAAAUAUAUUUUUUUAUUUUUUAAAAAUUAUUUUUAAAAUCAGCAAAUAAAAAAAAAAUUCUUGUAAGAAAAAUUAAAUUUUUUCAAUAAUACGAUUUAAACUGUUUUUCUAAACGUUCUCCUAGUUCAUACUUAAAUGAUAUACCCGUGCAAUGUUCUAGGUUUAUAACAUGUUUGUGAGUUGUCAUGGAUAUAUGAAGAAAAAUUAUUGUAAUUUACAAUAUUUUUUUAAAAAUUAUUAUAAAGAUUCUUGACUAGAUUAAUAUUAAAAAUAAAAUCAACAAAGAUAAUUUUAAAAAAAUCUUUUUAAAAAACAUGGAAGGAAAAGUAUAAAACACUGUAGCAUUUAUAGUGUUUCAUUAGAUAGAAAAUCUAAAGUUUUAUGCCACUAUUACACUGUUUUUUAAAUAUUAAUAAAGUUUGUUUAAAUAUAUAAAUCAUUUAGUUUAAUCAAAAUCAAUCAAAGAUAACACAUUGUAAUUACAGAUAUUGUUUGUAAAAUUAAUAUUAUUAAAUGAUUUCCCCUUUUAUAUCCAUUAAAGAUAACAUAAUCCUUCAAUAGGUGAGAAAUUUUUUUUUCCUUAUUUCUUUAUUAUUUUUAUUGAAAUAGAUUAUGCAUACAUUACCUUCAACGUCAUUGUUAAUGUAUAAAAAUAAAUAUGUUUUAAUAAGAAAAUUCAUCGCAUCAAAUGAAAAAAAUAUUAUCAUCACUAAACUUUUAUAAAAUAUAUAAAAAAUCUAAUCAAUUUAUUCAAAAAUAUUACGCAAUAGAAAAGGGAAAAUAAUAUAAAUAUUAAUUUGAAGUAAAGGAAAAAACUUAAAAAAAAUUCAAUUUUAUAUUAAAAUAAAUAUUUUUUUAGAAUCAUAAAAAAAUAAUUUUAACAAAAACAAAAUUUAAAAUUUUAAAAAUCAUAAUUGAAACCGCAUUACUAAACAUAACCUUCAUUUUCUUUUUCAAACGUUAGUAUAAUCAUAAUUUAAACAUGAUUUCUGCAAUGCCUUUUAUUUGUCAGGUAAAGUGAAACUUUCUACGGCAAAAUUCUUUUAGUAAAUAAAGAAAGUGGAGAUGGGCCAGGCUUUCCUCGUACAAACUUGGGUCACAUCGCAUGUGCAUAGGAUCAGAAGAAUGUUGGAUCGGUUAAGCCCAUAUUUUGUAAUCAAUAACUUAGGCCGAUCCAAUACUUAUUUGAUUUUUAGAAAUUUGAAAUUACAUAUAUAUGUUAAUCGAACUAAUCGUAUUAUUACUUAUCAUUUUUUCUAAAAAUAUCAUCUUUCUUUCAAGAACUGUCCCUAUUCCCUAAGGGCAUUAUUUAUUUAUUUUUUUAGGAUACAACAGGGGAGCAUUUACCUGGUUUGUUUCAUUUUAUAGUAUUUUGCAUGUUGGCUUCGGCCUUAUAAUCUAUAAAAAAAGAAGAGGAAAAUGAAGAGAGAGAAAAAAGUGUCGAUGAUUAAACAAAGCAUAGAUCUAGAUAAUAUAGAUUAUAGUUGUUAAACUGGGUUCAGUAAUCUACUCAAAAUAAAAUUUAAAUCACUAAGUUACAAGGUGCAUAUCAAUUAUUUUUAUUAAAAUAUAGGUGGUAUUUGGUUCUAGAAUUUUUUUUUUUUAAAAAAAGAAAUUCUUAUUGUUGAUGUGUCUAGGUGGGACCUAGUUAAUAGGGUUAUUAAAUAAGUUUUUUUGGGUGUGUAUAUAUAACUUUAACUUGGCCCCGAUCAAAGUUAAAAUCCUUACUUUUUAAAAUUAAUUUAUCAAGUUAAAUUAAGUUUAAUCAUUAUGACAUUUGGUUUUUUUUCUUGAUUUAAAUUUCGAGAUUAGUGUUUAUUUUUUUAAAAAAAUACACCUAACUGAUACAAGAUGAUGUGUUUUUAAAGUUAUUCAUAACCUAAAUUUAAUCUCUAUUAACAUGAAUAUAUAUAUAUAUAUAUAUAUAAGCAUAGAAAAUUCAGCCCAUAAUAUGUAGUGAAAAACGUUGUCUUCUACUUUGAAUUUCAUAAAAGAGAUCUAAAUUUAAAUUGCUGACAGGGACGGCAUCCCUUUUUUUGGGUCUUCUUGACGAAUUGUAAAAGCAGUCCACAAUCACAGCAAAGCCAUGACCUCACCUAUAUCACAAUAAUAUGUAGCACCGGAAGUUCUCGUUCAGUAUGAAGUUGAAUGCAAGCCUAUGUCCAUCUCGUGUAGUUGAAGAGGCCCGCGACAAACCUCAAUUUCUUCUUGCUGCUAGUGCUUCUUGUUAAAGCAGCUUUCAGUUUUCUCUUAAUGUUACAAGCUGUUGUUGAUCUCGAUUGAGUUGACAAGUCAUCGCCAGCUUCUUCUUCUUCUUACCAUAAAAGAGCGCUCCGACCGUCAAGCGGGCAAAAGCUUGGCUUGGUAGGUUCCGGUGAACCUUUAGUCACAAAAAUUAAUAGGAUCCAUGAAUAAUAAUCAGUGAUUUUUCCUUUAUCAAACAGUUGGCUCUUUACUUUAAACACAACUUCUAACUCGUAAAGAAAAGGUAUCUUACUAUUUUUCUUAUCAAUUUCAAGGUUUUGUAUUAUAUGAAAGGACUUUUUGUGAUGUUUAUGAAUGUGGUCAAAAUAUUGUUAAGUGAAAAUUUAAAAUUAAUUUUUUAUAUAUUUUUAAUUGUUUUAAUGUAUUAUUCUUAAAAAUAUAUUAUUUUAAUAUAUUUAAAAAAAUACUAAAAUACCAAUCACGAACACAAGUGUCCAACAACCACAAUCAAUGGAUGCAGCCCACUAAGGACAAAUCGGGGAGGUUGCCAAUUGCCCCUAAAUUUAACAACUCUGGCCCCUCCAAGUUAAUAAUCUCGCAUAUUUGGUACCUUUCUUUCAGAAAAUUUGAAUUUUAUCCUUGCAAAAUGAAAAUUUUAAUAAAAGACUAUUUCUCUUAAUAAAUUUUACCAUCGAAAUAUAGAAGAUUAACUCUUCUCAAAAGAUGAUCAAUUUGUUCCUCUUCCCUCACCAUAUAAUCUUAGUUGAUCUUUGUUGGGAAAAUGAAUUCCCUAAGGAAUUGUGAGUUCCCGAAUGACUUGAGGAAGUACCUUUCAGACUCUGCUUGUCUCCAUUUCUAUUGGAUCGUUUGAGCUGUAUCAUGUCCUAUACACGACUUCCUCUACACGCAUAACCAAGAGGGCAUCGGUUGUAUUUUUGUACAGAGAAGUAUUCAAAGAGAUCUCAAUUUAAAUUUCUGACGGGGACGGUAUCGCAUUUUAUUGGGUCUUCUUGACGAAUUGUAAAAGCAGUCCACAAUGACACCAAAGCCAUGACCUCACUCUCACUCUUGUCCUGCACGUGCACGUAUAUAUUUUUUAACAGUAAAUUGCCAAUCUCAAGUCCACUUGAUUAUAGCUACCAGUAGUGCCCUUAAAAAGGAUAUGAAAAUCAGUCUUUUACAUGCAAUCCCACCUUGAAAUUCUCUAGCAAAUUGAGGGAAAAAAAACAGAGCUCAGUCGCAGAAUGAAGAAAGCAGAGCUGGUCUUCAUACCAACAACAGGUAUAAGCCACCUCCUAUCCGCAGUAGAGGUAGCAAAGCUUCUUGUAGACCGUGAUGAGAGGCUUUCAAUCACCUUCCUCAUCAUGAAACCACGUUCUGACCCCAAGACUGAUAGGUUUAUAAAUUCAGUGAGUACAGCCAGUAAUCGUAUCCGGUUCAUCGACUUGCC
rnacentral:lncRNA from 1 species